UACGGAGGGUGCAAGCGUUAUCCGGAUUCACUGGGUUUAAAGGGUGCGUAGGCGGCUUUGCAAGUGGCGGGUGAAAUCCCUCGGCUUAACCGAGGAACUGCCUGUCAAACUGCAUGGCUUGAGACCGGGAGAGGUGAGUGGAAUUCCCAGUGUAGCGGUGAAAUGCGUAGAUAUUGGGAGGAACACCAGUGGCGAAGGCGGCUCACUGGACCGGUACUGACGCUGAUGCGCGAAAGCGUGGGGAGCAAACAGG
rnacentral:rRNA from 1 species